rnacentral:rRNA from 1 species
ACAAGCAGCGGAGCAUGUGGUUUAAUUCGAAGCAACGCGAAGAACCUUACCAAGACUUGACAUCCCCUGACAGCUGUUGAAAGGCAGUGUCUCUUCGGAGCAGGGAGACAGGUGGUGCAUGGUUGUCGUCAGCUCGUGUCGUGAGAUGUUGGGUUAAGUCCCGCAACGAGCGCAACCCUUAUCCUUAGUUACCAGCACGUAAAGGUGGGGACUCUAGGGAGACCGCCGGGGACGACUCGGAGGAAGGUGGGGACGACGUCAAAUCAUCAUGCCCCUUAUGUCUUGGGCUACACACGUGCUACAAUGGCCGCAACAGAGGGAAGCGAGAGCGCAAGCUGGAGCAAAACCCUAAAAAGCGGUCCCAGUUCGGAUUGUGGGCUGCAACCCGCCCACAUGAAGUCGGAGUUGCUAGUAAUCGCGAAUCAGCAUGUCGCGGUGAAUGCGUUCCCGGGCCUU